GUCGAGAUGGCCGAGUGGUUAAGGCGCAGCACUCGAAUAGCAAUAUCUGAUAUGCUGUGGGUUCGCCCGCGCAGGUUCGAAUCCUGUUCUCGACG